rnacentral:rRNA from 1 species
UACGUAGGUGGCAAGCGUUGUCCGGAAUUACUGGGCGUAAAGGGCGCGUAGGCGGCCUGUUAAGUCGAACGUGAAAUCCCCGGGCUCAACCCGGGAACUGCGUCCGAUACUGGCAGGCUUGAAUCCGGGAGAGGGAUGUGGAAUUCCAGGUGUAGCGGUGAAAUGCGUAGAUAUCUGGAGGAACACCGGUGGCGAAGGCGGCAUCCUGGACCGAGAUUGACGCUGAGGCGCGAAAGCCAGGGGAGCAAACGGG